rnacentral:rRNA from 1 species
GAUGAACGCUAGCGGCAGGCCUAAUACAUGCAAGUCGAACGGUGUCUUCGGACAUAGUGGCGCACGGGUGCGUAACACGUAUGCAACCUACCUUACAUUGGGGGAUAGCCUUUCGAAAGGGAGAUUAAUACCGCAUAAGACAGUAGCUGGGCAUCCAGCAGCUGUUAAGGAUUUAUCGAUGUAAGCUGGGCAUGUGUCCAAUUAGCUAGUUGGUGAGGUAACGGCUCACCAAGGCAAUGAUUGGUAGGGGAACUGAGAGGUCAAUCCCCCACACUGGAACUGAGAUACGGGCCAGACUCCUACGGGAGGCAGCAGUAUGGAAUAUUGGGCAAUGGACGCAAGUCUGACCCAGCCAUGCCGCGUGCAGGAUGAAGGCGUUAUGCGUUGUAAACUGCUUUUAUACAGGAAGAAACGACUCUUGCGAGAGGCAUUGACGGUACUGUAUGAAUAAGCACCGGCUAACUCCGUGCCAGCCGCCGCAGUAAGAC